rnacentral:sRNA from 1 species
AAUUUGGUGGCGGCGUCCGGAGGGUGCUGGUCUGUUCUCGGUGAACGGCGCGCGGGGUCUCUCCUGAGUGCGAGCUACGGGACCUUCGCCAUGCCGGGGAUGGUACUCUUCGGCCGGCGCUGGGCCAUCGCCAGCGACGACUUGGUCUUCCCAGGGUUCUUCGAGCUGGUAGUGCGAGUGCUGUGGUGGAUUGGCAUUCUGACGUUGUAUCUCAUGCACAGAGGGAAGCUGGACUGUGCUGGUGGAGCCUUGCUCAGCAGUUACUUGAUCGUCCUCAUGAUUCUCCUGGCAGUUGUCAUAUGUACUGUGUCAGCCAUCAUGUGUGUCAGCAUGAGAGGAACGAUUUGUAACCCUGGACCGCGGAAGUCUAUGUCUAAGCUGCUUUACAUCCGCCUGGCGCUGUUUUUUCCAGAGAUGGUCUGGGCCUCUCUGGGGGCUGCCUGGGUGGCAGAUGGUGUUCAGUGCGACAGGACAGUAGUAAACGGCAUCAUCGCAACCGUCGUGGUCAGACAGAGUCUCCCUCUGUCGCCAGGCUGGAGUGCAGUGGCGCCUCCU